GUGCCAGCAGCCGCGGUAAUACAGAGGUGGCGAGCGUUGUUCGGAUUUACUGGGCGUAAAGGGUGCGUAGGUUGUUUUGUAUGUCGAAUGUGAAAGCCCACUGCUUAACGGUGGAAGGUCAUUCGAAACUGCAGGACUAGNAGUACAGGAGAGGAGAGCGGAAUUCUUGGUGUAGCGGUGAAAUGCGUUGAUAUCAAGAAGAACACCGGUGGCGAAGGCGGCUCUCUGGAAUGAUACUGACACUGAGGCACGAAAGCUGGGGGAGCAAACAGGAUUAGAUACCCUGGUAGUCCCAGCCCUAAACGGUGUCAACUUGGUGUCGGCGGUAUUGACCCCGCCGGUGCCGGAGCUAACGCGUUAAGUUGACCGCCUGGGGAGUACGACCGCAAGGUUAAAACUCAAAUGAAUUGACGG
rnacentral:rRNA from 1 species